rnacentral:sRNA from 1 species
CCCCAGGUACAGUCGCCGUAUACCGGCGCU